rnacentral:rRNA from 1 species
GUACUGUGCAAACGUUAUUCGGAAUCACUGGGGCUUAAAGGGUGCGUAGGCGGCUAGCUAAGUAGGGUGUGAAAUGCCUCGACUCAACCGAGGAACUGCGCUCUAAACUGGUUGGCUUGAGUGAGAUAGGGGUGUGCGGAACUUCCAGUGGAGCGGUGAAAUGUGUUGAUAUUGGAAGGAACGCCGGUGGCGAAAGCGGCACACUGGGUCUCAACUGACGCUGAGGCACGAAAGCCAGGGUAGCGAACGGGAUUAGAUACCCCGGUAGUCCUGGCUGUAAACGAUGAGCACUAGAUGGGAGGGACUUCGGUCCAUCCGGUCGCAGCGAAAGCAUUAAGUGCUCCGCCUGGGGAGUAUGGUCGCAAGGCUG